ACUCAAAGGAAUAGACGGGGGCUCACACAAGCGGUGGAGCAUGUGGCUUAAUUCGAAGCAACGCGAAGAACCUUACCCAGGUUUGACAUGCACGGAUGCCCCACGGGGAUAACUCAUGGUGGCUGCCCGCAAGGGUGAAACGUGCACAGGUGUUGCAUGGCUGUCGUCAGCUCGUGCUGUGAAGUGUCGGGUUAAGUCCCUUAACGAGCGAAACCCCUAUCGUUAGUUACCAGCGGGUCAUGCCGGGGACUCUAGCGAGACUGCCGGCGUUAAGCCGGAGGAAGGCGGGGAUGACGUCAAGUCAUCAUGGCCUUUAUGCCUGGGGACGCACACGUGCUACAAUGGCACAUACAGAGCGACGCAAGACCGCAAGGUGGAGCAAAUCGCAAAAAAUGUGCCCCAGUUCAGAUUGGAGUCUGCAAUUCGACUCCAUGAAGUUGGAAUCGCUAGUAAUCGCGUAUCAGCUACGACGCGGUGAAUGUGUUCCUGAGCCUUGCACACACCGCCCGU
rnacentral:rRNA from 1 species